rnacentral:lncRNA from 1 species
AUGGUGGCAGAGCUCUGGAGGCUGACGAAAGGAGCCGAGAAUUGCAGCACACAAAAAGUAAAGUCACGAGGAAACACGACAGAAACAAAAGCAUCCGUUUCAGGGUCCAGCACUGGAACCUCUGACACAGUUUCCGGGUUCUUCCUUUCAGAAAACGUUAUCUGGUUAUAUUAUCCAAAAUCAAGACUUUUCACCUCAAAACUGGCUUGGGUAAUCUUUUCUCUAUUUAUCUUUUUCUUCAUCUACAAAAUAAGACACUUGCAAAAUGCACUUUGAGUCUGUCACCUUCACAGUAUCAUGCUAAUAUUCAGCACUGCACAAAUAUUAUUGAUUUUUGGACAGCCUGCACUCUUCACCAAAUUCUUCAAAUUUCAUUAAUUCUGUAUCUGGCAACAAUAUACAUUAGUAUAUAUAUCUUAAAGUUCCAAAUACACUUAAAGGUUCUCAUCAAAGUAACACACCCUGAUAAUUUCCAGAGAAAUCAUGGGUUCCUAUCAAGACGUCCAAAUGGUACAGCAUGUUGCAUCCUCCUCCCAAAACUUCAGAAGUCCUAAGGAACUAUGCAUUCCCAGAAAUAACAAGAGUGACAACCCUGGGAAAUGACAGAGGCCUGAAGGCUGUCUCUUAAUUGGUGGGUAGCCUGGGGUUAGGGGCAGUGGGUGGCAGCCUUGAGGGGCUCAGUGUGAGGGAAAAUUUUAAGGACCGUUCUUGCCUCUCCCCUGAGUUGCUUGGAAGCGAUCACUUUCCUUUCUCAGUAGAAACAAGUAGCAACCACCCAGAUGUAGCUAGGAUAAAAUUAGAGUAGCAUUAGGUUAGCUGAUGAAAGCAGGGAAGGGCUGAACAAUCCUUGAUCCUUCACUCCUCCACCUCCUCCGUCUCCCAAGCCCCAGGUGACAACCUCAAAUGCCUCCUCAAAUGCCGCUUUCCCCAAGAGCUCAAAGGUGACAGAUCCUGACCACAGGAGUUGAGUGGUCACAGUGUUUCACGGUUUCUGAGACUGUCUGCGCCUGGGGCCAUCACCUCCCCUCAUAUUAAACUUACUUAGAAAAACACACCUUAGGCACUAGGUCUCAACAAAGGUGACUAUAUAAUACAGCACCCAGGAGAGGACACUUCUGAGAGUGAAAAGGACACACUAUUAAUAAUUAUUCUGAGAUAACAGCCACAGACUGAGAUGGUCCCAAGCAAAACGUUAGCC